ACUAUUGCACAAUCGGCGAAAGCCUCAUGCAGCGACGCCGCGUGAGGGAUUACGGCCUUCGGGUCGUAAACCUCUUUCUGUUGGGAAGCAGCUAGAGCGACGGUACCUACAGCAGAAGCGCCGGCUAACUACGUGCCAGCAGCCGCGGUAAUACGUAGGGCGCAAGCGUUUUCCGGAAUUAUCGGGCGUAAAGAGCUCGUAGGCGGUUUGUCGCGUCUGCUGUGAAAACCCGAGGCUCAACCUCGGGCUUGCAGUGGGUACGGGCAGACUAGAGUGUGGUAGGGGAGACUGGAAUUCCUGGUGUAGCGGUGGAAUGCGCAGAUAUCAGGAGGAACACCGAUGGCGGAGGCAGGUCUCUGGGCCACAACUGACGCUGAGGAGCGAAAGCAUGGGUAGCGAACA
rnacentral:rRNA from 1 species